AAAGAAGAGGUAUCUUAAUCGAAGAGGGCUGGAACGCCCUACCAUAGAAGGUAAUAGUCCUGUAGAUAAAAAGAGAAAACUUCGAGAUCUAAUCCAGAGUACCACGAGACACGUGAAACCUUGUGGGAAGCAGGGAGGACCACCUCCCAAGGCUAAAUACUACCUAGUGACCGAUAGUGAAGCAGUACCGUGAGGGAAAGGUGAAAAGAAC
rnacentral:rRNA from 1 species